CGUCAGUAUGACAAUACGUCAUCCUAAACGUUCAUACUCAGGUAUCGUAAGAUGCAAGAGUUCGAAUCUCUUAGCAACCA
rnacentral:tRNA from 1 species